AGUAGCUGAGUUCAUAUCUCUACUCUCAGUAUGAUGGAAAAACUCUCCCUUCUAUUGCUCUCUCUCUCUCUGUCUGACCUGUUUAAAUGGUCUGAGUCUAGAGUCCAUUCCCUCCAAUUCAGUCAUGAAAAAGCCUGAAGAAACUCAGUCUCUCCUGUACGGGACCUGGGGUAACCUCUAGUAGCUACAACACACAUUGGGUUCCCCACAGUUCCUCCAAAUGUUGAGUCAGUCCAGAUGUCUGAUGAAUAGAGCCAGUCCAC